GUUCAUUUUGUGGUUGCUAAAUGGGUUCUUGGUUCGAGGCUUCCAGCCCUUGGCUGUCAAGGCACCUUAAACUGGGUGGCAUUUGUGGGCUAGUCGCAAGCCUUGGCGGGGCUCACAGACGAAGAUGGCGUAAGAUUGCGGGUUGGGUGGUGGUGCGACCUAAACUCUGCUGGGGUGGUUGGGGCGGAAAUGCGGAAAAACCUCGGCUCGCGUGCCCUGCCUCUGAUGAAGCCUGUGUUGGUAGGGACAUCUGAGACUGUUGAUGAAUGCCAACGUCUCUGAUGGCAGUGCAUGCCGAGUCACCCGAGUGGGCCUUGCUUAAUGACUUGGGCCGCUUGCUCUCAGGAAGGCCGGUGGAUGGGGGAGACCACGUGGUUCUCAAAAUAACUGCAUUCCGCAGCGCACCAUCAUUGCUGUCAGUGGUUCUUAACCUUACCUUUGUGCAGUGCUCUUUGAUGACAACAUGUUAAGUGCACCUUUUACAGUCAUGACAUUAUGGGUGGUAUAAACUACUUGCAUAGAUAAUACAAAAACGACACAAUGAGAAUAAAGGUAUCUCUAAUGUUUAACCUAGGAAUGGUGCGAGGCACGAAUACAAUGUGGCUUUUGAUGGCGUUUGAUGGACAGGUCUGUGCCAAAGGGAUGACAACACCUGCUGGGGUCCUAAAGCACAAGCUUCACACACUAGCCAUGGGCAGGCAGACAUUAAACAGAAUUAGCUGGAAGUUAAAGUGGUGGACUUGAGUCUUUGACAUGUCUGGAUGGAGGCUUUAUUUUUUUUUUUGCUGCUGCAUACAUGCUUUUUAUCCAUGGAUGGCUUGCUUGGGGUACAGAUGUUGGACACCUUUUAUGUAAAGGUGUGAAGAGUUGGGUUGUCUACAAGUCAUGGAACAAGGAAUUUUAAGCAAAGGCAGACCUUCUGUUACUCUGAAGAUUUUAAGGGCAUUUAUGACAGCACUUAUGCAGCUUACCAGUUGAAAGGCAGCUGGAUGGAUGCUUAUGGGAUAGAAGAUUAAAACAACUUUCAAUUUUAAUAAAUUUUUAUAUAAAAUA